GUAGUCGUGGCCGAGUGGUUAAGGCGACAGACUUGAAAUCUGUUGGGAUAUUCCCGCGCAGGUUCAAAUCCUGCCGACUACA
rnacentral:tRNA from 1 species